AUACGGAGGGUGCAAGCGUUGUUCGGAUUUAUUGGGCGUAAAGCGAGUGUAGGCGGUUUGACAAGUCGAAUGUGAAAUCCCGAGGCCCAACCUCGGAACUGCAUCCGAAACUGUCAGGCUAGAGUCCCGGAGAGGGUGGCGGAAUUCCCGGUGUAGGGGUGAAAUCCGUAGAUAUCGGGAGGAACACCAGUGGCGAAGGCGGCAACCUGGACGGUGACUGACGCUGAGACUCGAAAGUGUGGGUAGCAAACAGGAUUAGAAACCCCGGUAGUCC
rnacentral:rRNA from 1 species